rnacentral:lncRNA from 1 species
UCUUCAGGCAUCAGAACCAAAUUAGAGUGCUUUAUACGUGCAAGGAACUAAUGCAGAAAGACAUUAUGGAAUCAAGAUUCUUAAGGUCUGAGUACAAGUUCCGCUUCAGGAUGGCGCUGCUGCACAGCAGGGCACCUUGCAGGGCCCCGACCAGUCCACAGGUGAAGAUAUCCUGGCCUAGGAGGCAAGAGCAGAGGCCCCUGAGCGUGCACCCAGGCAGGCCCAGGGGAGGGUGGGGCCUUGGUGCUCUUCCCUCCACAUGAGGGCCACCCAGAGCUGGCUCCAAUCAGACAGGGGCCACAGCCUGCCCAGGCAGCCCUGCUCAGGGGAUGGGAGGCUGCAGGGGACAGCAGGGCCUGAGGGCAGGAACAGAGGACGUUGGGCGACAGGGGCCCAGGGUCUCAGGUCCUGACAACAUGGGGCAGUGAGUAUACCUGUCAGAUAGAGGUUGGGGAUGGGGCUCUGGGCCCUCAAGGAGGCCAUCACACAAGGGUGCAGGCGGCCCAGGUCAUGGUCAGCCCCGUAGCAGGCACCUCGGGGAGCAGCCAGAUAGAACUGGUUGGUGAGUGGGGAUCCUGCAGUCACACUCUCCACCUGAGGGCAGAAAGGGUGGGGCAGGCAUGUGAGAUCCUGGCUCCCCUCCCUCUUCCACUCUUUCCCAUUCACUGACUGCAGGGAUGGGUGCCCUGUCCUUCCCUGGGGCUCAUGUCUUGGGGCCUGAUUCCCCUGUCUCAAGGAAAGGGCAGAAACAGCACCGUGAGGUUCGUCACCACCCCAAAUACUUUACCCCCUACCUUCCCCUCCAGCUGUGGGAACAGUUUCAGGACCACUGACAUAGAGGCUUCCACAAAGGAGUUUUUGAAGGUCUCAUAGUCACUGCCCCGCUUUCCCUUCAGCUCCGCCUGCCACUCCUCAAACCACUCGUAGGCAGUGGGUAUGAGCAUGAUCAUGGUGGACCGGCCUGGGGAUCAGAGCUGAUAUUACUACUGCCCGGCCUCUCCCUCCACCCCCUCACCCGGGACGUGCAGCCCCACCUGGGAAUCGGUCCUCCCAGGUCGGAUCUUUGGCUGAUGGGAAAGCGAAGAAGAGAAGAGGGAUGUGUUCCGCAGCCUCUUCCCUGGGCAUGGAGACGUAGCGCUCCAUCCUGCAUGUGACAAGAGUGUGGUGGGAUCUCCAGGUUUUUGUCCUCAAAACCCCAGAACCACUGCAAGGACUGCUUAUCCCUAGGGACUCCCCACAGGGGUGAAGCUGAGCCACAGCCUUGGCGUGACAAACUUCCAGGAGCAAAUUAGAAAUUGCCUACUUCCUCCCAUUCCAUAACCUCUGCUCAUUCUCUGAGUCAAGCAGGGAGGCACGGGCCACACACAUACACACACACGUGCACCUUACGCCUGGUCCAUGUCCGUGUCAUAGUAAACAUAGUAGUUGGUGGACGGCAGAUGCAGGUCUUCCUUGGUGCCUCGCAGGCAGAUGAAAACAGAGGUCAUGCCUAAGCCGGGCCGCACCGUCCCCAGUUGCUGCUUCACACCUGCCAGGGGGAGUGGUUGGUGCCUGUGUGGACCAUGGCCGGAGACGGCCACUCCUUGCUCCCAGGAGAGCCUUGGGGUGCCAGCUCUGGCACCUGCCUGAGGCAUGCCGGGCCCCUGGCCACUCUGCUUCCUUCAUUUAACUAAAUAUUUUUGAGGCCUUCAGAUCGUGUUCAGGAGGAAAAUUCAUAGACAAGGGAAAAUUGUAACCAGACAGUGAGAGGGGGGCGGGAGGGACAGAUGACUGUAGCAGGGCUGCCUGGCCAGGACAGUGUCAGUUCCCAGAGGUCCUGGGACAGGGGAGAAGGGAGGUCAGGGUCACAGAGAGAAAGGUAGGAAGUAGCAAAGGCAGAGUCUGCCUGUGCACCAAGCCCGACCUCCCUGCUCUGCCCCUGGGCCAUCUCUGCCUCACCCCUUCAGCUCCUGAGAGUCUGAGAGAGGGGAGGCCGAGCAGGCUGCAGGCUCAGCCACGCAGGGUGAAGGAAGGAGAGGCUGGCGCUGGUGAAAUCACCCUAUGCCCUGGAGACAAUCACAACUGCCUUACCACCCAGUCCCCAUGCGGAAAGCCAGGACCUCGCUUUACCCCCCAGCCCGCUCUGCUGUCCCCUUCCCCGGCUCCUCAGGGAGCAGCUCCCGGGCCCACCCUCUGGGGUCAGGGCUCCUUCCCCUGCUCUCUAGCUCCUGCACCAGUCAAGGUUUCCGCCAUACCAUAUCCGGAGCUACUCCAUGCUCUCCAGCUCCCGCCCCAUCCUGAGUCCUUCAUCUGGGCCCCUCUCUCUCACCCCUGCUGGGUUACUGGUCCCCUCUUCCCAGCGGCCUCCCUUCCUCAGAUCCAGUUACAUGAAGGUGGCGGGACCUCUUAGCUGCGUUGGC